rnacentral:rRNA from 1 species
AACGAACGCUGGCGGCAUGCCUAACACAUGCAAGUCGAACGAGACCUUCGGGUCUAGUGGCGCACGGGUGCGUAACGCGUGGGAACCUGCCUUUAGGUUCGGAAUAACAGUGAGAAAUUACUGCUAAUACCGGAUGAUGUCUUCGGACCAAAGAUUUAUCGCCUUUAGAUGGGCCCGCGUUGGAUUAGCUAGUUGGUGGGGUAAAGGCCUACCAAGGCGACGAUCCAUAGCUGGUCUGAGAGGAUGAUCAGCCACACUGGGACUGAGACACGGUCCAGACUCCUACGGGAGGCAGCAGUGAGGAAUAUUCUGCAAUGGGCGAAAGCCUGACAGAGCAAUACCGCGUGAGGGAUGAAGGCCUAUGGGUUGUAAACCUCUUUUCCCAAGGAAGAAGAUCUGACGUUACUUGGGGAAUAAGCAUCGGCUAACCCUCGUG